UACGUAGGGGGCAAGCGUUGUCCGGAUUUAUUGGGCGUAAAGAGCGUGUAGGCGGCCUUACAGGUCAGCUGUGAAAACUCGAGGCUCAACCUCGAGACGUCGGUUGAAACCGUAAGGCUAGAGUCCGGAAGAGGAGAGUGGAAUUCCCGGUGUAGCGGUGAAAUGCGCAGAUAUCGGGAAGAACACCCGUGGCGAAGGCAGCCUCCUGGGCCAGCACUGACGCUCAUGCGCGAAAGCCAGGGGAGCGAACGGG
rnacentral:rRNA from 1 species